GACGAACGCUGGCGGCGUGCUUAACACAUGCAAGUCGAACGGAAAGGCCCUGCUUGCAGGGUACUCGAGUGGCGAACGGGUGAGUAACACGUGGGUGUUCUGCCCUGCACUUCGUGGGAAGCCUUGGGAACUGUGGGUAAUACCGGGGAGAGGCGAUUCUGAUGCUGGGGGUGGGAAAGUUUUUUCGGUGUAGGAUGGGCGCGCGGGCUGUCCGCUUGUUGGUGGGGGAAUGGCCUACCAAGGCGGCGACGGGUAGCCGGCCUGGGGGGGUGGACGGCCACCUUGGGGCUGAGAUUCGGCCCCGGCUCCUACCGGGGGCAGCAGGGGGGAAUAUUGCACAAUGGGCGCGAGCCUGAUGCAGCGACGCCGCGUGGCGGAAGACGGCCUUCGGGUUGGAAACUCCUUUCGCUAGGGACGGAGCUUUUUGUGACGGUACCUAGAAAAGAAGCACCGGCUAACUACGUG
rnacentral:rRNA from 1 species